UUCAGGGCUUAUCCAGAAUCCAGAAAGUGUUUGGAUAUUGGAAAAACAAAAACAAAAAACCUUUGUUCUGUAAGACAGUAUAGAAAGUUAGGAGAAAGGUCUAUUCCAGGAUCAAGUGUGCCAGGAACAACCGGGAGGAACAGGCCAAGGUUUCAGAGCCUCAGGAAUGAGAAACAGCAGGAGGUGAGCGGGAACUAGACCAACAGGACCCAAGGGAGAGUAUCAAAGGCACAACAAAGGAAAAUGAGGACAACCCAAUACCCGGAAAAAAAACAAGUAAUUCAUGGACUCACAAUAGGCCACAAACUAGAUGACUGUCAGGAAGAGAAGAGCAAACCUUAUGAUCUUAAAAUGAUUUCUUGUUCAUUUGCAUCCUCGCAUCAAUCUAGACUUUAAGAGAUACGUGAUUUUUAAAUAAAUGGGUACA